rnacentral:rRNA from 1 species
GAUGAACGCUAGCGGCAGGCCUAAUACAUGCAAGUCGGACGGGAUCCAUCGGAGAGCUUGCUCGAAGAUGGUGAGAGUGGCGCACGGGUGCGUAACGCGUGAGCAACCUACCUCUAUCAGGGGGAUAGCCUCUCGAAAGAGAGAUUAACACCGCAUAACAUCAACAGUUCGCAUGUCCGGUUGAUUAAAUAUUUAUAGGAUAGAGAUGGGCUCGCGUGACAUUAGCUAGUUGGUAGGGUAACGGCUUACCAAGGCGACGAUGUCUAGGGGCUCUGAGAGGAGAAUCCCCCACACUGGUACUGAGACACGGACCAGACUCCUACGGGAGGCAGCAGUAAGGAAUAUUGGUCAAUGGGCGGAAGCCUGAACCAGCCAUGCCGCGUGCAGGACGACUGCCCUAUGGGUUGUAAACUGCUUUUGUCCAGGAAUAAACCUAAAUACGUGUAUUUAGCUGAAUGUACUGGAAGAAUAAGGAUCGGCUAACUCCGUGCCAGCAGCCGCAGUAACAC